rnacentral:rRNA from 1 species
UACGUAGGUGGCAGCGUGUCGGUUCGAUCUGGGCGUAAAGAGCGCGCAGGCGGUCGUACAAGUCGCGUGUGAAAGCCCCCGGCUCAACUGGGGAGGGUCACGCGAUACUGUUCGACUCGAAGGCAGGAGAGGGAAGUGGAAUUCCCGGUGUAGUGGUGAAAUGCGUAGAUAUCGGGAGGAACACCAGUGGCGAAGGCGACUUCCUGGCCUGUUCUUGACGCUGAGGCGCGAAAGCUAGGGUAGCAAACGGGG